AAAACAUCUUCGUCUGGCAUGGAGAAACAGCCACACACUCACACACUUAUUGUCAGCAAAGAGAUUAAAUUCGUGGAAUUAUGACAAGUAUAGGGGCAGAAAUGCAAUCAAGUUGUUGAUGUGACGAUGGGCUUGAUUCGUGCCCAAUGAUUUAUGUGCUUGAGUAUCAAUUUCACGAAUGAUUGGUCGACUUGAUCCGGCAGGCAAAUCCGGAAGGGUGUGUGAUUUAUUGGACGCUUUCAUGGGGGGAUAUCGUCCGAAUAGCGUAUAUAGAGCGUCGACAAAAGCUCGUAGGGGAUUUUAUUGCCUGCCUCUGCCUGUGCAAAUCCUUUAUACUGUACAUACAUACAGGAUGGGCCUGUAUUAACAUUUAUGAUAGAAUAUGGCUCUAUUUUAUUUGCUAUUUUGUUGUGUUCUUUUCUUCCAUUGUCCAUGCUCUCCCACGUCAGCGCAGCGUUUCCAUCCAAUACGAAGCCCUACUGUUUGCUUAUGGUAAACGACCCGAGCUGAUCGAAACUGCUGCCAAGCCAUACGCAAUAAAAGGCAAACAAACAUCGUUUAAUGUUGUGUUUCGUCAGAGGAAGCUCAUAUCAUUUGCCGCCAGAAGAAAGAGAAUGAAAAUAAUCUGGCAAACCCCUGGGGCCGUGGUUGGUAAAUUGCGUGGAAUGUGUCGAUAAGAUCGUCUGAUAUUUAAUGAUAAUGAGGUCUAUGAAUAAUUGGCAACGUCACGAAGGAAAGAUGGAGACUGCCAAGCAUUUAGGAAAUACGUAUAUUUAAAUACUUCAGCAGGAAAUUGAUAGAUUAUUUUAAUUGCCAUUAAAUUAUGAUCUUUAACAAAAUAAGGAACAGAUGAAGAUCGAAGAGGAAAAUCGUGUUUGAUCAUACACGUAUGGAUCACUUUUGGAAUUCCAUCUAAACGUUUUGAGCACAUGGCAUGUGCAAAAUUGAGCUACUUACCAAUUAAUAACUUAUUCACGUUCACCUCUGUAAAUCAUGAUAUUUUUUUCAGUUUCAAAGAUCUUGACUUCAUAGAGAAGACUUGGGUUUGCCAUGUGAGCUGAUAAAGAGUCCCAUAUAAACACAGCAACAUUUUCGGUGGUGCUGACCAAGUGGUGGAAAUGAGGAACAUCUUUGUCAAGAUUUUUGUGAUCCAUCACGUUCAUGAUGCUCUGUUCCAUGUACAGCUUUAAGUCACACAGAUUCAUGACCAUCCCCGUUUUCUCAUCAAUGGGUCCUCUGAUAGUGACUUCAACUAUGGUUUGAAAUAAGAAGGGAUUCCUUGCCGUCAACGACAAAUGAAUGAGGCGUGUCCAACAUAGUCGGGAGACAGUGGAAUCCUCCUACAAUCUCACUACCGUUCUACUCGGAAGUUAAAGCAGUUUGGAGUGAUUGUUUUGUGGUUGCCUUUCAUAAGACGAAGAAAAACGAGAAGCGGGAAAUCAUUUUUGUGUGUGUGGUUAGUUUUGAGUCAUUCAAGCGU